AGCAGCUGACGGUCCAGCAUCUUCGCAUCACGUUCUCGCCUUUUACUAGAGCAUGCCGUGUCGGGCCGUCGCUUGCAGCUGCUUAUCAAAUUUCUCCCUUCACAGGUCUCCCUGUGCA
rfam:Exidia glandulosa HHB12029 unplaced genomic scaffold EXIGLscaffold_482, whole genome shotgun sequence.